ACGAACGCUGGCGGCGUGCCUAAUACAUGCAAGUCGAGCGAAUUUCAGGGAGCUUGCUCUCUGGAAUUAGCGGCGGACGGGUGAGUAACACGUGGGCAACCUGCCUGUAAGACUGGGAUAACUUCGGGAAACCGGAGCUAAUACCGGAUACGUUCUUUUCUCGCAUGAGGGAAGAUGGAAAGACGGUUUCGGCUGUCACUUACAGAUGGGCCCGCGGCGCAUUAGCUAGUUGGUGGGGUAAUGGCUCACCAAGGCGACGAUGCGUAGCCG
rnacentral:rRNA from 1 species